rnacentral:rRNA from 1 species
CAGCAGCCACGGUAAUACGAAGGGGGCUAGCGUUGUUCGGAAUUACUGGGCGUAAAGCGCACGUAGGCGGAUUUUUAAGUCAGGGGUGAAAUCCCGAGGCUCAACCUCGGAACUGCCUUUGAUACUGGAGAUCUUGAGUUCGGAAGAGGUUGGUGGAACAGCUAGUGUAGAGGUGAAAUUCGUAGAUAUUAGCUAGAACACCAGUGGCGAAGGCGGCCAACUGGUCCGAUACUGACGCUGAGGUGCGAAAGCGUGGGGAGCAAACAGGAUUAGAUACCCCCGUAGUCCCUGUCUCUUAUAU